rnacentral:rRNA from 1 species
AUUGAACGCUGGCGGCAGGCUUAACACAUGCAAGUCGAGCGGAGAGAGGUAGCUUGCUACCGAUCUUAGCGGCGGACGGGUGAGUAAUGCUUAGGAAUCUGCCUAUUAGUGGGGGACAACAUUUCGAAAGGAAUGCUAAUACCGCAUACGUCCUACGGGAGAAAGCAGGGGAUCUUCGGACCUUGCGCUAAGAGAUGAGCCUAAGUCGGAUUAGCUAGGUGGUGGGGUAAAGGCCUACCAAGGCGACGAUCUGUAGCGGGUCUGGGAGGAUGAUCCGCCACACUGGGACUGAGACACGGCCCAGACUCCUACGGGAGGCAGCAGUGGGGAAUAUUGGACAAUGGGCGCAAGCCUGAUCCAGCCAUGCCGCGUGUGUGAAGAAGGCCUUAUGGUUGUAAAGCACUUUAAGCGAGGAGGAGGCUACUGAAGUUAAUACCUUCAGAUAGUGGACGUUACUCGCAGAAUAAGCACCGGCUAACUCUGUGCCAGCCGCCGCGGUAAGAC